AUUGAACGCUGGCGGCAGGCCUAACACAUGCAAGUCGAGCGAGCGGCGGACGGGUGAGUAAUGUCCGGGAAACUGCCGGAUGGGGGGGGAUAACUACUGGAAACGGUAGCUAAUACCGCAUACCAUCAGAUGUGCCCAGAUGGGAUUAGCUAGUAGGGGGGGUAACGGCUCACCUAGGCGACGAUCCCUAGCUGGUCUGAGAGGAUGACCAGCCACACUGUGACUGAGACACGGUCCAGACUCCUACGGGAGGCAGCAGUGGGGAAUAUUGCGCAAUGGGCGCAAGCCUGAUGCAGCCAUGCCGAGUGUGUGAAGAAGGCCUUCGGGUUGUAAAGCUCUUUCAGCGGCGAGGCGUUACCCGCAGAAGAAGCACCGGCUAACUCCGGGCCAGCAGCCGCGGUAAUAC
rnacentral:rRNA from 1 species